rnacentral:rRNA from 1 species
GAUCCUUCGGGAUUAGUGGCAGACGGGUGAGUAACGCGUGGGAAGCUACCUUGUGGUAGGGGACAACAGUUGGAAACGACUGCUAAUACCCUAUGAGCCCUAUGGGGGAAAGAUUUAUCGCCAUGAGAUGUGCCCGCGUUAGAUUAGCUAGUUGGUAAGGUAAUGGCUUACCAAGGCGACGAUCUAUAGCUGGUCUGAGAGGAUGAUCAGCCACACUGGGACUGAGACACGGCCCAGACUCCUACGGGAGGCAGCAGUGGGGAAUAUUGGACAAUGGGGGCAACCCUGAUCCAGCCAUGCCGCGUGUGUGAUGACGGCCUUAGGGUUGUAAAGCACUUUCAGCAGUGAAGAUAAUGACAUUAACUGCAGAAGAAGCCCCGGCUAACUUCGUGCCAGCAGCCGCGGUAAUACGAAGGGG